rnacentral:rRNA from 1 species
GACGAACGCUGGCGGCGUGCUUAACACAUGCAAGUCGAACGGAAAGGCCCUGCUUUUGUGGGGUGCUCGAGUGGCGAACGGGUGAGUAACACGUGAGUAACCUGCCCUUGACUUUGGGAUAACUUCAGGAAACUGGGGCUAAUACCGGAUAGGAGCUCCUGCUGCAUGGUGGGGGUUGGAAAGUUUCGGCGGUUGGGGAUGGACUCGCGGCUUAUCAGCUUGUUGGUGGGGUAGUGGCUUACCAAGGCUUUGGCGGGUAGCCGGCCUGAGAGGGUGACCGGCCACAUUGGGACUGAGAUACGGCCCAGACUCCUACGGGAGGCAGCAGUGGGGAAUAUUGCACAAUGGGCGGAAGCCUGAUGCAGCAACGCCGCGUGCGGGAUGACGGCCUUCUGGUUGUAAACCGCUUUCGCCUGUGACGAAGCUUGAGUGACGGUAAUGAGUAAAGAAGCACCGGCUAACUACGUG